UCUUGGUCAUUUAGAGGAAGUAAAAGUCGUAACAAGGUUUCCGUAGGUGAACCUGCGGAAGGAUCAUUAUUGAAUAAAACAUUUGAUAGGCUGUUGCUGGCUCUUCUAGAGUAAUGUGCACGCUUGUCAUUAUUUUUGUUUUUUCCACCUGUGCACCUUUUUGUAGACCUUGGAGAAUUGUCUCGAUAGAUUUCUUGGGGACUGCUGUGCCUUUUGAAUGAAGGGCCAGCUUUCCCUUGUCUCUCUAGGUUCUAUGUUAUUCACAUACUCCUAUGAAUGUAAUAGAAUGUUGAUCUGGGCCCUUUUAGUGCCCAUAAAGUUUUUAUACAACUUUCAGCAAUGGAUCUCUUGGCUCUCGCAUCGAUGAAGAACGCAGCGAAAUGCGAUAAGUAAUGUGAAUAGCAGAAUUCAGUGAAUCAUCGAAUCUUUGAACGCAUCUUGCGCUCCUUGGUAUUCUGAGGAGCAUGCCUGUUUGAGUGUCAUUAAAUUCUCAACCACACUGAUUAUGAUUAGUGUGGCUUGGAUAUGGGGAUUGUGGGCUUCUCUGUAGUCCACUGCUCUGAAAUUAAUUAGCAGUACUUUGGUGGAACUGUCUACAGGUGUGAUAAUUAUCUACAUCCCUAGACAUCUGCUGCAACUGCUUUCUAAAAAACCUUGCUUGUAUUGACAAUCUUGACCUCAAAUCAGGUAGGACUACCCGCUGAACUUAAGCAUAUCAUAAGCGGAGGA
rnacentral:rRNA from 1 species